rnacentral:rRNA from 1 species
CCUACGGGUGGCAGCAGUGAGGAAUAUUGGUCAAUGGACGAGAGUCUGAACCAGCCAAGUAGCGUGAAGGAUGACUGCCCUAUGGGUUGUAAACUUCUUUUAUAUGGGAAUAAAAUGUUCCACGUGUGCGGUUUUGUAUGUACCUUAUGAAUAAGGAUCGGCUAACUCCGUGCCAGCAGCCGCGGUAAUACGGAGGAUCCGAGCGUUAUCCGGAUUUAUUGGGUUUAAAGGGAGCGUAGGUGGGUUGUUAAGUCAGUUGUGAAAGUUUGCGGCUCAACCGUAAAAUUGCAAUUGAUACUGGCAGUCUUGAGUACAGUAGAGGUAGGCGGAAUUCGUGGUGUAGCGGUGAAAUGCUUAGAGAUCACGAAGAACUCCGAUGGCGAAGGCAGUUCACUGGACUGCAACUGACACUGAGGCUCGAAAGUGUGGGUAUCAAACAGGAUUAGAUACCCGAGUAGUC